rnacentral:rRNA from 1 species
CUCAUAACAUUUUCUGAUCUAUUUGAUAAUCGCUAAUUAAAAGGAGAUAUUUUCGCAAUUUUUGUUAUAGCCCUUGCGACUGCUGAAGCCGCUAUUGGACUAUCAAUUCUUUCUUCCAUCCAUCGUAAUAGGAAAUCCACUCAUAUCAAUUAAUCUAAUUUAUUGAAUAAUUAG